GACGAACGCUGGCGGCGUGCUUAACACAUGCCAGUCGAACGGAAAGGCCCUGCUUUUGUGGGGUGCUCGAGUGGCGAACGGGUGAGUAACACGUGAGUAACCUGCCCUUUACUUUGGGUUAACUUCAGGAAACUGGGGCUAAUACCGGAUAGGAGCUCCUGCUGCAUGGUGGGGGUUGGAAAGUUUCGGCGGUUGGGGAUGGACUCGCGGCUUAUCAGCUUGUUGGUGGGGUAGUGGCUUACCAAGGCUUUGACGGGUAGCCGGCCUGAGAGGGUGACCGGCCACAUUGGGACUGAGAUACGGCCCAGAGUCCUACGGGAGGCAGCAGUGGGGAAUAUUGCACAAUGGGCGGAAGCCUGAUGAAGCAACGCCGCGGGCGGGAUGACGGCCUUCGGGUUGGAAACCGCUUUCGCCUGUGACGAAGCGUGAGUGACGGUAAUGGGUAAAGAAGCACCGGCUAACUACGUG
rnacentral:rRNA from 1 species